CUCGUAGGCGGUUCGUCGCGUCCGGUGUGAAAGUCCAUCGCUUAACGGUGGAUCUGCGCCGGGUACGGGCGGGCUGGAGUACGGUAGGGGAGACUGGAAUUCCCGGUGUAACGGUGGAAUGUGUAGAUAUCGGGAAGAACACCGAUGGCGAAGGCAGGUCUCUGGGCCGUCACUGACGCUGAGGAGCGAAAGCGUGGGGAGCGAACA
rnacentral:rRNA from 1 species